rnacentral:lncRNA from 1 species
CCAAGUCAUCUGAUCAGAGGGAGCAGUGCCAACGAGUGCACAGAGCAGGUUAUCAGCUACUUACUGUUGCUGAGAAAUUAGCUUUGCAAAUUGUUAGAGGACAAUUCAACAGCAUUAGAGAUGAAAAAUGAACCAGAAAAUGUAUUCAGAAGCCAUUGAAGACACUAUGAAAGGUACUGUGAAGCACAUACCCUGAGAAAAUCUAUAAAGGAAAGCCAGAUAAAAAGGAAUGAAAUGAAAAAACAAAAAAGACAACCAAAUGUGACAGUUACUGGACACUGUCAGAUGUCAUCAUGUUGAGGCUUGUUCAGCAUUUUGUGGGCGUUCAGAGCAGGGCCCUGUGACUUAGCUUAGUGGUGACUGCCAUUUGUG